rnacentral:misc_RNA from 1 species
ACGAGUUAGGGCCUCUGGCCCGAACCUCCAACCCCUUGUAUCAAAACCUCGUUGCCUCGGGGAGGCCCUGCCUCACGGCUGGCCCCCCCGAUGGACCACUAAACUCUGCAUCUGUAUGACGUCUGAGUAAAGAUUUUAAAUUAAAUCA